rnacentral:misc_RNA from 1 species
GAACGCACCUUGCGCCCUUUGGCUAUUCUGAAGGGCAUGCCUGUUUGAGUAUCAUGAACACCUCAACUCUCAUGGUUUGCCAUGAUGAGCUUGGACUUUGGGGGUCUUGCUGGCCUAUGGUCGGCUCCUCUCAAAUGAAUCAGCUUGCCAGUGUUUGGUGGCAUCACAGGUGUGAUAACUAUCUACGCUUGUGGUUUUCCACCAGGUAACCUUCAGUGAUGGAGGUUCGCUGGGGCUCACAAAUGUCUCUCCUCAGUGAGGACAGCUUUUUAAUGUUUGAUCUCAAAUCAGGUAGGACUACCCGCUGAACUUAAG